UUUUUUUUUUUUUUUUUUGAUUCUGAGAGCUUCACACUAUGCUAAGUUUGCCACAGGCUGAUUAAUCAAAUUACACUUUUUAGUGUAUCGGUUACAAUUUCAACUACAUUUUAAGUUCCUAGGUGACCAAGAUAUGGCUUUUUCACUUUUCAAUUUCCCACAGAUCUCAACAUAGCCGAUACUUAGUAAACAGUUACAAUGAAUUGAGCAAAUGACACAAUUUCAAAAAGCAUUAUGUAUAUUUUUACAUUGCCUUUGUGCUUCCAUUCUAGCAUCAUAUAUAAUUUUGUCUGUUUGUAUGUCUAUGUGUAAAAUAACAAUUCUCAUUCUCUCGAUGAGGUAUUUUCUACUUCACUAUCUAUGCAAUUAUAAGGUGAAAACUAUUCCAAACGCCACAAGAGCUGAAUGGCAAGUGUAGAACUACUGUUAAAGAAUUUUGCUCUUGAAAUUGUAAUGUCAUAGCACUUCAGCAAGGGAAGAAGAAAAGCCAUUCUGAUAUUAUGCAUGCUUAGGUAUUGGGAUGUGGGGUUAUUACUGGUUCUUUUUCUAUUGAAAAAAUGGAUAGGGUAAAAUCUAAAGUAAUUUCAGUGUUAUUCAAUAUUUUAUUAAUGGGGGGAAGCAUCAUUUUAACUGCAGCCAUCUAUAGAAUUUGGACUGAUUACUAGUUCAAAUGACAGAGUCCUACAGUGAAACCCAUAAUUUUACAUUACGUUCUGCAAGAGAUGAUAGCAGUUCUUCACAUAUAAUGGUAUUGCUACCCAGAAUCUUGUUAACACUCAUAGUCUGAGAGGUUGUGCUUAUCUUCUCUCUCAUUAUUAUUUUGAAUCAGAAAGAAAUGUUUUUCAGAAGUCUACUGGCCUUUUUCCUUUAUAUAUGGGACUUUGGUCAAUUAGACAUUUUCAUAGACUAGACACCGUGGGUAACAAAUUUAAUAAUUUAGGUAGAAGGGUAAAAUUACAAAGAAGUGAAUCUUUAAAAAAAAAAAAAUUAAGAAAUGCCCUUACUGUGGUUUGACUUGUAUUUAGCUCUUUGUAGCUAUUUCUAGUCACUGAUUCUAUGGAAAGUACUUUCAGUUUAGUUGCUUGUUACUGGGCAACAAUUUAUUCCAAUUAUAACUGAAAUGUUCCUAAUAGACAGUUACUGGCGGAUAAAAACAGAUUUUAAAAAUGAACUAUUAAAUCCAUAGUAUUUUCUCUUGAUGCAAGAGGCAGAAAUUAUUCUAACAAUUGACAUUUUCUAAUGUUCCCAGGUCUUUCUAGACAUUUCAAGUGAUUUGGGGGGCAUUGGUGAGGACCCAAGGGGCGGCAUGGUUCAGAGCUGUUAAAUGUAGAAAUGACACAAUUAGAUAGAAUAGCUACUGAGACUGGGGACCAAAUGUUAGCAGCGUAUGGAAUGCCACAUUCUCUAUCAGAUGCAAAUGGCAUGCAAUCUUCAAACUUUCAUAGGAGAGUUUUUCUUUAGAAAAAGGUCUUAAUGGACAUUUGCUAACUACAUUCUCUUCCUGACAAUCACCCUAUUAUUUUUUUACUUACCUAUUAAAAAAAAAAAAAGAAAAAAAAACACAGCUAACAAAUGACAAUGGAGGAUAAGCAGAGCAUAUCCCUUGAUACUUUAUAUGUAUUUUUUAAGGCAAGAAAAGAGAAAACAAAAUCUUUGUUCCUAAGUUUCUCAACCCAAAUCCAACCAGACUCACUGACAAGCCUAAACCUUUCCAUGUAUAUUCCAGCCUCUGAGGCUAGAAUCUGUAUAAGCUCAAAUGAAGUUUGCCACAUGGAUAUAUUUUCAAAUGAGACGUGUGGUGUGCAAGAAAGAUUUCUUUGUUUUCUUUCUUCUUUAUAAUAUUAAAAUGCAGUAAAAAAUGGACUGACCAUAGUCGCCAAUUGACAUAAAAUUACACGCAUGGAAGGAAAAGAAGUACAUCAGUUGUAGAUUUAACCUUAGGAACUUUAUCUCAUAAUCAACAGUUUUGUGUUUUGAAAUGUGUCUUAAAUGACCUGAUCAGUUCUAAUGGUAGUAAGAAGAGACGGUUGCUGAGAAUUUAUUCCACUUAGCUCCAGUUUCUCCCCGUAACAGAAUAACAGGCAAGAACAAUUGCAGCACCAGUCCCAGGCACAGGAUCAACAAAUACUUGUUGAAUUUAAUUGGGUUGAAUUAAAAUUUGUGCUUUUAAAGAAUAAAGUUGGCAUCUCUAGUCCAAGGUCCCCAAAUCAUCUAGGCUCUCCACAGUUGACUGUCUAAUGAACUCCAGACUAGUUAUAGAUCAAAGGGAUUAAAAUAACUUUACUCAGCACUCACUUUACUCUGUUUCAUUAUCUGAACUAGGGAAGUCUAGGAUAAUUACAGUGCUACCUAAAAAAAAAAAAAAAAAGUUUCAUCAUCAUACUUCCUGUUUGGUGAGUAAACAACAGAACAGUUAUGGUCUGUAACGGACCUAUUAAAACCCUAACAUCCCUGCAAGCGAGUAAGUUGGAGAACUCCAGAAUGCUCCCUGACAGGACACUGAAACACCAACCCUGAACGAUCAACAACUCAUUGCCAUAGUGCGACAAUCUUAACCCUGUUGCAACUGGGUGACCAGUCAAUUUGCAGGGAGAAGCAUCAUCAGAGCACAUAGGAAUGCUGUUAUUACCCAUUAUAAGUAUGACGCGAAGGUCACAUAUCAGGCAAUUACACCUUUUCAUUACAUGCUAACCCCUCACGGCAGGGAAGCCACGCUUAUGACUGCAUUAGACAGACAAAGCCUUCAGCUCUUAAAAAAAAAAAAAAAAAAAAAGAAAAGCCAAAAAGGGGGGGGGGCAAAAAAAAAAAGAGAAAAGAUAAAAAAAUUAAAUUCGUUUUCUUACCAGCACGUUGCAGCAUCAACUCGCUCACAGGAAUGUUGCCUUUACAGGUUUCUCUUUUAAUUAUCCUGGAAGCAGGGAGACAAAAAAAAAAAAAAAAAAAAAAAAGGCAAAGAAGAAGAAGCAGGGUGGUUAAAUUAGCGUGCUGGAAUCUUUUCAGUUUGUCGCAGAGUAGAAAAAUAAAAAAGGGG
rnacentral:lncRNA from 1 species